UCGUUUACAAAUUUAAACCGAAACAGAGCAAAUUAUACACAUCGAGGGUUCUUUCCCCCUUCCUCUCGAGUUCCGCCGCGCCGCGCCAAACGUUUGUCCGUCUUUCUCAGAGACACUCUGUGCCCUGAACCAACUCUGGAGAAACAAAGUUUUCUAUCUGCAGAUUGUUUUUGAAGGCAAUAUCUGAGUAAAAGCAAAGGAAUGAUGGAUACUGUUUUAUUGGGAACAAUGCCAGAAUCUGGUGUGACACUACAUAUAGACCCAACAGAAGAAGGUUCACUACCAGAUGCAAAUAUGAAUGGUUCCAGUAGGAAAAAACCGAAAAGAAGAAAGAAGAAGAAGAAAAAGGAAGAGGAAGCUUUGUGUGGAGAAGAGAAGACGUUGGAUGUUUUACAAAAACCCACCGAAGAAGAUCAAAGACAUCCACCUGAGAAUCCUUUGUCCAACAUUAGAAUACAAGAAGAUUCGUGCCAGCAAGGUCAAGAUUCAUGUGAAAAGCCUGAAGAUUCAGAGUCAGUUGCUAUUGAUAUGACUUCUUCUGAGAGAAAGAAGAAAAGAAGAAAGAAAAAGAAAAGCAAUGAUAGAGAUGCGCUGACGGAGAGUGGCGUUGAUACCAAUUCGGAGGUUACUAUGGAAUGCGAUGCUAGGCACAGUUCUGAAGCUCAAGGAUCAAAAUUGAAUGGUACUGCGGUUAACAGUUGUCUGAAAUCCAAGGAUGAUAGAGUGGAUCAACAAAAGGGAGCAGAUGCCAAAGCUGAUGAAACUGUGUCCGAAAUUCAGAAUCCUAAAGCCAAGAAAAAGAAGAGAAGAAAAACCAAAACAAUGGAGGUAUGCGAUGCAUUAGAAAAUACUCUAGCAACCUCCAUGGAAAGUGGGCCAGAAGAGUCCAUGGAAACUGCUGGAGGUGUAUGCGAAGUAAAGAGCAAAAAACGGAAGAGAAAGAAGAAGAAAACGUCAUUGUCAGAUCAGGAAACUGCAGAUAUGGAGGUCUGUGAUCCAUCAGAAAAUACUUUACCAGGCACCAUAGUAGAGUGUAUGUUGGAUCACUCAAACAAAGAAGUUUUGGAAAAUUGUGAUAAGAAUGCUGGACAAGAGUUAGUGGCCGAGGAAGAGACAAAAGAUGAAAUUGGCGAAACUAAACAAAAGAGGAAGAAGAAAAAGAAGAAAGAGUCUUGUGAACUAAGUGAGGAAGUUAGUGAACCCAAACAAAAGAAGAAGAAGAAGAAGAAGAAGAAGAAAAAGUCUUGUGAAGAUGACAAAACUGACAAUAUGGAUGCCGAGAAGGAUGAUGUUUCUGUACCUAGGAAUGAGGGAGAACUAGAAUUUGACGGGGGAAAGCUUGAUACAUCUUUGUCAAGUUCUGUCUUAGUACCCGAUAAUGAGGUAGCUACACAAGAAACUGGAGAUGGACCUAGAUGCUCCUGCAAAGGUCAAAGUACCAGAAAGCUGGUUGUAUUUGAUUUGAACGGAAUCCUUGCAGAUAUUGCUCGAGGAAACACAGGUGAAUGUGUUCCAGAUGGUAAAAUAUCUUUCAGAUCAGUUUUCAAGAGACCUUUUGUUGCUACUUUUCUUGACUUCUGCUUUGAAAAGUUUGAUGUUGGGAUAUGGUCUUCUAGACGCAUUGGAUUGGAUUAUAUGACAGACAUUGUCAUGGGAAAUCACGCGGAAAAUCUACUAUUUAGUUUCGAUCAAAGUAUAUGCAUUACAACAAACUUCAAAACUCUGGAGAAUACUACUAAACCUCUGUUCCUUAAGGAUCUGAGAACAGUCUGGAAUCGUUUUGGUACAUGUCUCAGUUGUGGAAAACGAAAGUACGAUGAGACAAACACUUUGCUUGUGGACGAUUCACCCGACAAGGCAUUGUGUAAUCCUCCACAUACUGGAAUCUUUCCUUUCCCUUACCAGUACACUGACCGUGAAGAUUCUGCAUUGGGACCUGAUGGUGAGCUAAGGAAGUACAUGGAAAGGUUAGUGGAUGCGGAGAACGUUCAGAAGUUUGUGGAGGAGAAUCCAAUUGGCCAAUCUGCAAUAACCGAGACGCAUGAAUCAUGGAGUUUCUACUCUAGGGUCAUCAAGGCACAUAAAAGCUAAAUCAAUUCAGGGGAUUUUUGACCAACUCCUCACUGUUUAUUUGCUUCUUGAGAGCUCACAACAAGAAAAAGAAGAAGAUAAUAAUGUGGAUAUGUCAAGUCCCAACGAGAAGACAGAAGUCACAUGCAGAGGGAGACAUCUGAAGAACAGAGUUUUAACAAACCACAUCCACUUGCCAUAACCCCCCACCUCUCUUCUCUCUCUCUAAUCUCAAAUCAUUUCUAAUCCUAUUAUUCAUCAGAACUGUUUUACAUUGUUCUCUGGUCAGAAACAUAGAGGUAAAAUAAACAGAGUAGCAUUUGGCAGAGAAUCCUCUGUUCCCUCUGCCUCUUCGUCUUCUUCUUGGCUUUAUCAGUUCCUCAGUAUCUAAAAUACUUUCCGUCUUAUCUUCUUGGUGUUCGUAAGAUUCUUCAAUGUACAUUUUCUGAAUCUUCUUUGCAAUGGCGUUCACAUUAAGCUUUGUCUGUGCCAGUUUUUUGGAAUCUAAAUUUUGAUAAAAAGAGCUAAACUUUUUUGGAAAUAUAUGAAAAUAUGGAAGAUGCGUCACUCUCGUUAUGGUUCCAUGGUGGUUGGCUGUUGAUGGAGAUAUAACAAAAAAAAGACUAUAACACACUGUCAAG